AUUUUGAGUGUUUUAAACAUCGCUCUUCAUUUUCUUUGUCCUGUUUAUUAUUCCUGGUGAAUAAAAAUUAAGAAGAAUGGAUAUCUAUAAAACUCAGUCUUUUCAUCCAGGGACAGGUGUUUUUUUUUUUCAUUAUUUUAAAAUUGUUAUUAAAGUUUUAUUGUGUUCUUUGCACAUUUUUGGCGGCUGAAUAUUUUGUAGGUGUUUUUAUUGUUAGUACAAAUAGACUAUUUUCCAAAUGUCUUCAAACUAAUUUAUGCAUUUA
rnacentral:lncRNA from 1 species